GAAGAUGUUGUCAUUAACAACAUUAUUGGCUUCUCCCCUUCCUGGAAUGUAACCUGUAAAUUUAAAACAAAACUAGAGGAUCUUGACAUGAUAAAAUUAUUGCUAUUGCAGUCCUCAACGUGAUCACAUUGUUGCACAAUAUCAGAAAAUUUCAGAUUUGAACAAAUAUAAAUGCGGCGCACCAUGUACUCUCCUUUACAAUUAUAUGUGCCAAUGAAGUGAAAAGUAUUUGUAGACAAGUAUGGCUAUUCAGAAUUUGCAAAAAGC
rnacentral:lncRNA from 1 species